rnacentral:tRNA from 1 species
GCGAGCAUAGCUCAAUUGGCUAGAGUACCGCCUUGCCAUGGCGGCUGUUGUGGGUUCGAGUCCCAUUGCUCGCUCCA